CCCCAACUCAAACCGACGCCUCCCGUCUCCAUCGAGCAGAAGAUGAAGAAGAACACCAUAUGACGGAGACACGAAGAAGAUCCUAGGGUUUCGAUUCGCCCCCCUUAACUGGAGCGAUCCGAUAGCGCUAGGGCUUCGCGCUGGGCGGACUCGUCCGUCAGAUCUCGCGGUAUCGGUGGGGCGAAUGCUGAUGCACCCGGGGCUCUGUUGAUCUCCACACCGCCGCUUGGAUUGCAGUUGCUUCUGACGGAUCCCAUGGAUAAAAGCAAGAGAUCUGAUCUCCUCGCCGCCGGUCGUAAAAAGCUUCGACAAUUUAGGCAGAAGAAGGAUCAGAAGGGCGGAGGCAAGGAUGGCCAAUCCUCGAGCAAUGGCAUUAAGCUGGAGAAGGAUGUUGAUCCUGGUGAACGAACGAAUAAGAUCUCGGAGCCUGAUCCUGGCACUUUGACUUCGGCUGUUGAUUCUGAUGUAUCGGCGAUGGACUUAUUAGAUCCGUCAUCUGCUGUCCAUCAUGUGGAUUUGCGUGGUGUGGAUUCUGCACAAGUGGUUGACCAAGGAUCUCAGGAUGAAGGGGGAGAUGCUGAACAAGCGCUGAUUGAGCUUCCUGUUGUCGGUGAAGGCUCAUCAUCAGCUUUUGAGAUAGUUCAUGAGGAAGUGAGACCUCCUGGUUUGAAACAACAUGAUGAUGAGAGCUCAGAUGUUGGGAUCUCGGUCAUCGAUGGUGAAACACAUGAGGCUGGUGGAAAUGUUCUUAUGGUUGCUCUGGAUACCGAUAGGGAAAAACAAGGAGCCACCACGGCUGAUCCCGGUUCAGGACUUGAAGCAGCUCAAGAUGUGGUUGGAUUGCCUUAUCUACCAGGUGAAAGAAAUAAGGUUCAAGGAGAUCCUGUCUAUUCGGCUGAGAACUCUGGGAUAGUGGUCUUGGGGAUUGAGAGUGGGAAAGAGGAUCAUGAGAUGGAGAAAAUUGAGCUCCAGACAGAUGUUAUCGCCUCUAAAAAUCUUGAAGUGGAGAGGGCUCCUGAAGCAUAUGGUUUUCCUAUUCUAGCUGAAGAAUCUCAAGUGUUGGGUACCAAUUUUUACCAUGAACAUGAUGAAAUGGCACCUCAAGUGUCAUCAGACAGGAUUAUUUCACUUGAAGAUAGUUCAGAAAUGUCAUUGCCAUGCCAAGACACUUCCAUUAAGAACACUUCAGCAGAGGGACUGACACCUAGACACCAUGUUGUUCCCAACUGGAGCACUUCACCUGGAGAGAAAUCAGAAGUUCCAUACCUAGUUACUAAUGAUAAGGAUAUUUCAGCCAAACAAAAUUUGGAGAUGGCUUCCUCCAACAUUGGUACUUCUGAUGAGAGUAUUCAAAUAGAAGAAUACUCUGAAAAUCCUUCUUCAAGCCAGCUUACAUCUGACAACACUGUUUCCCUUAGAGAAAAUGUGGAGAUUCCUUAUUUACUGGAGACUGACUCUGCCCAAGAAAAGGAAGAAAUUUCAGCUAUGGUUGAUGGAGAAAGCCUAAGAACUACUGUUGAAGAGGUGGUACAGGGUCAGUGCAGGUCAAGUGGGGAGCUUCCAGAAGAAAUUUCUUCAUCACCUCAGGAGAUGGCCGAAGAGCUUAAGGAAGAGGACUAUUAUCCCAUGUCAGGAUCAACAGUCCCAGUUUCCUCAUCAGUGGAAUGCUAUAUGCUAAACAGAGUUGUUCAUGAUGGUGUUGCAGAUGAAUUGGAGAAGUUUACAAGGUAUCUUUACUUAACAAGUGUUGCAAGGGAUUUUCUUCAGUUUCAGCUCGAUGAGCAAACUGAGUUGAAUCAUGAGAUCUGCAAGCGUUCUUCUGUAGAACAUUCCAAACUCCAGGGUUUUCUUCAAGAAACUUACAGAAACAACAUUGUUGUCAAUGAGGAGCUUGCACAGUGCAGGUAUGAGCUCGGAGCUAUGCAUGCUGUAAAGGAGGAACUCGAGAUCAGAUUACUUUCUAAGAAUGAAGAACUUGAAGUACUUAAUAACAAUUUUUUGGAGUUGCAGAGCAACCUCAAAGUGUCCCAACAAGAAUUGGUUCAAUUGUCUUCUGAGUUAGCUGCUUGUAUGUGUUCUCUUGAAACAGCACAGAAAGAAAACGUGAACUUAAUUACAAGCCUCACGUUGGAAACAGAUUUAAGGAAGAAAAUUGAAGAGGAAAAGGAGUUUCUAGCCAGUCAGAAUGCAAACCUCGCUUCUGAUUUGUUGGAACAAAAAGAGAGGCUAUGUACUGCCCUUGAUAAACAAAACCAACUUGAGUGCAUUAUAAAAGAAACAGGGUCAUACUUUGAGCAACUCGCAGAGGAUAACAUGUAUCUGUCAAGCAGUUUAUCUCUCCACAUAGCAAAGCUAAAAGAGGUGGAGGCUGAGCAUUUCGGGUCAGCUCUUCUCUUUAAAGAAGCUGAGUUUCAAGAAAAUGAUUAUCAUGUUGAACGAGUAGCUCCUCAUGAUGUAGCUGAAGAUUUGCAAAGUACAAAGGGGACUUCAGGAGUGUCAUGUCAUGGUCAAAGUCCUUUGCUUCACAAGGUUGAUAAUGAGCAAUCUGAUAGUUUUUCCAUCUUGGGUGUUCUGAAGGGGCAUGUACAGCAUGCCAAAGAUAUACUGCAGAAUCUUGAAAACUCAAUUGAAGGGCUGCACUUGUAUUCAGUGUUGUCGAGCAGGUCAGAUGGGAGAGCUGGAGCAUCUGGAGUAUCAAAACUUAUAAAGGCCUUUGAAUCAAAAGAAAAUACUGAAAUUGCAUCAGAGGAAGUGCAUGUGUCCAGGGGAGGGCUGUCAGAUGAUUCAUAUGCACUAACUAAGGAACAAACAUCCAGUCUUAGAGGUACAAUUGAGCAGAUAGAAUUGGAGAUUGGAAAAGCUGAAGUACAUAUGGGUAAGGAAUGGAAUAGAAGAACAAUAUCAAAAUCCUUUCAGAUGGAUUCUCAAUCUCUAAAGCAGAAAAGUGAUAGUAUUCAGGCAAAAAUUGAUGAGCUUGUAGGCAACAUGUCCAAGAACUCAUGCAGAAUAGAAGACCUGCAAAAUCAGUUUGACGAAAUACAGCAAGAUGUUCAUGAUCAGUCAAUGAAAAUUUAUAGCCAAGUGGAGCUGUUGCAAAAUGAAAUGAAUGAAAUUUUUUUUAUCUCAAAUCAAGAAAGGGACUCAAUUAUGGAUGCUAUUCUUCGGGCCAUUGAAAAAUUAAAUAAAUAUACUGCAUCUCAGAUCUCUGAUAACUGUGAUGUUGGCUCACAUGUCAUGGCUUCGGUUGAUGCUGCCACUAAAUCAUUUGUCAACCUGCAUGAGAAACUAGAUGCCGCCAAUUUGAAAUACAACACUCUCCAUGAUUCAUAUAAUGAACAAAACAAACUAUUAAGUACUGUCCUAGAAAGGAAUGAGUUCUCUGCCAGUCAAAUGCAUAAAAUGUAUGUGAGCCUUUGGGAACAUCUGUACGAAUCACAUAAAAGCAUUGGGACAAUAGAUGCGGGUAUGAAAGCUGAUGAAAUUUUGCAACUUUUACCUGAACGCUAUGAAAUGCUUAUUAUGCAUCUGAGGAAGUUGUUGGACGAGCGGCUUCUCUUCAUAUCUAAAAAUAAUGAGCUAGAGUCAGUGUUGUUGAACAAAAACGAAGAGAUCCAAGAUCUGAACAAGUAUUCUGAUGCUUUGGCAAAAAAGUUGGAGGACCUACAACAUGCCAAAAAUGGACUUGAGGCAAUUUUGAUGAAGAAAGAUGAAGAGUUUGAGGAAUCUAACAAAAAAUGUCUUGAUUUGGCUAGUAAGUUGGAUUGUUGUGGAUCAAAAUUUGAUCUUUGCGCUCCCAAGUUGGCUGAAAGUGCCAAAGUCACUCAGAUGUCUGACAGUAUGAACAAUGACUCAUUUAGUUCCUUAAUGCAGCUAGAGGCAUUAGUUGGAUCUCAUAUUCAGGAACAUGAAGGGACAAUUGAACAACUUAAAUUGUCAAAGAAAUGUUUAUUAGAAGUUAAUAUAUUUCCUGAAAUUUCAUAUGAUAAUUUGUCAUUACCUUUGCCGAUGUUGCUUAAGGUUGACUUUAUACCUAAAGUGAUGGAACUGCAGGCUCAGUUGGACUCAUUGUGUGUGUCAGACAUUAAACAUGAAAUUGACCUUCAAUUUUUCAAGGAGUAUAUAGGUAUGAUGAAGGAAGCUCUUGAAGCAUCUCGCUCAGAAUUACAUUUGAAAGCACGUGAGUUAGAGCAAUCAGAGCAGAGGCUUUCUUAUGUCAGAGAGAAGCUUAGUAUUGCUGUUGCAAAAGGUAAAGGAUUAAUUGUCCAGAGAGAUAGUCUCAAACAUUCUCUAGCGGAAAAGUCAAGCGAGCUUGAAAAGUGUCUUCAUGAAUUGCAGUCCAAAGAAGCAAUGCUUCAAGAAGCUGAGGCCAAGCUCAAGUCUUAUUCAGAAGUGGACCGAAUAGAAGCUCUAGAAUCUGAGCUUUCUUAUAUUCGGAAUUCUGCAACUGCUUUGCGAGAUUCUUUUCUUCUUAAGGACUCUGUUCUUCAGAGGAUUGAAGAAGUCUUGGAAGAUUUGGAUCUUCCUGAAUAUUUCCAUUCUAAAGAUGUAGUAGAGAAAAUUGAAUUGCUGUCCAAAAUGGUUGCUGGAAAUUCUUCUUUUAGAAUGAAUGAUUGGGAUAAAAAAAGUUCUAUUGGGGGAUCACAUUCUGAUGCAGGUUUUGUGGUCAUGGAUUCUUGGAGGGAUGAUUCUCAGGCAAUUUCAAAUCCGGAAUUUGAUGAGUUGAAAAGCAAAUAUGAGCAGCUUGAAAGAAAGUUUUAUGGUUUGGCUGAGCACAAUGAUAUGCUAGAACAGUCCUUAGUUGAGAGAAAUAGCCUUGUCCAGAAAUGGGAAGAGAUGCUGGAUAAAAUUGAUGUGCCCCCACAAUUGAGUAUAUUGGACCCAGAAGAUAAGAUUGAGUGGUUAGGAAAAACACUUUCUGAGACCCAGGAUGAAAGAGAUGCAUUGCAAAUGAAAAUCAAGAACCUUGAGGCUUCUUCUGAUAUGCUUGUUGUGGACUUAGAAGAGUCAUACAAGAAGUUAUCUGAAGUCAGUGCAGAGGUUGUAGCUAUUGAAUCUGAAAAAGAUUUUCUUUCUGAGAGUUUGAGUAAACUAAAUUUCGAAUAUCUUGGACUUUCCGAGAAAGUUGUACAACAUGAUAUUGACAGUGAUAAUUUUCAACGAGAAAUAGAUUUCCUGCAGAAAAAGUUGGCUGAGAAGAUUCAAGGGUGUGAUAUGGAGAAAGAGAUUUGGGGACUGAUCAAUCUGGUUCGUAAUGCAUUUUAUGAAUCUGAUAUGUCUGUAGCUCUCUCUGAUGGUAAUGCAAUCAAGUGCUUGGAAGAAUUAGUGAGUAAGCUUGUAGAUGAAUAUACAAACCUCACAUCAGAGAAAGUUUUGCCCAAAGAUGCUGAGGAGCUUGCUUCUAAUAGAAGCACUUUGGCCAUUGGUGACAGUGUAACAGGAGAUGUUCUACAUGAUAAAGAGCAGGAAUUAAUCAAUAUGAGAGUAGAACUUGAUAAGGCUAGCUCUCAUGUGGAUUUGGUGAAAAAUGAAAGGGAUGAAGCCAUUGAUAGGUACCAUUCUUUGAUGUUGGAAAUAGAGGCAAUAAGUAGACAACAGAAAUUAUUGCAGGAAGAGAUGACUGCUGAGAUGGAAAAGAACAAGUCCUUAUUAUUGCAGUUAGAUAUGAUGCACAAAGAAAAGAAUGCUUUGCAGGAGCAGCUUACUCAGGAGGAGGAGAAGUCUGCUUCCACUAGAGAGAAGCUAAACAUUGCUGUUAGAAAAGGGAAGGGACUAGUACAGCAGAGAGAUGGCCUGAAACAAGAAAUCGAGGAGAUGAAUACUAUGAUAGCACAUUUAAAAUCUGAGAAUAAUCAGCGAGUAGAAGCAUUUGAAUCUGAGAAAAAAAUAUUAGUGAAUCAAUUGGCAGAGGCUGAACAGAACUUGAAAAUUAGUAACCAGACACUCAGUAGAUUGUUAAGGGCUUUAGAUGGUAUAGAUGUUGGCACUGAAAUUAAUAACACUGAUCCUCUUCAGAAGUUGGAAGAAAUAAGGAAAAUAAAUAUCGAGUUGCAUUCAUCCUUAAUUUCCGCAGAACAAGAAGCAAAGAAAUCUAAACGAGCAGCUGAACUGCUUCUGGCUGAGUUGAAUGAAGUUCAAGAGAGGGCUGAUAUCCUUCAGGAGGAACUUGGGAGGGCAGAAGCUGCACUUUUUGAGGCCUCUAGACAGAAAGAUGAUGCUGAAUCUGCAAGAGCUGUUGCGCUCCGUCAUCUUGAGGAAAAUGAUUUGCUGCAUUCUGAGGAAAGGAAGCAGCAAAUUGACAAUCUGGUUGAGUUAAAUUCUGGCAUUGGUCAGAUAAAGAAAGUCUGCUUUGAAUUUUCUGAUCUUCUUAUUAAUACUUUUACAAGGCAUGCUGACCUCUUAAGCUAUAUUGGGACCUUUGUGGAAUCUAUUGAGAAACAAUUAAACUGCGAAAUCGUGACUGAUCUUCCAUCUGAUUGUCUGUUUCAUGAGGAAAAUUUAAAUUCCCAUCAUCCUGUUUCAGAACUUCAGUUGUAUGAGCUGUCUGAGGAACAGUCGGUAGCUGAAAAUAUUGGUUUUUCCAUUCAAUAUGUUCUUGAAUGUGUAAGUGAGUGUAAUGACUUGAAGAGAAAAAUUCACAAACACUUCUUUUCAUUUGACCAACAAGCAAGUCAUCUGUUGAAAAUCAUGGAGGCUGUUGAAAGGAAGUUCUCUUCACAAAAGGAGGAAUCUGAUUCUUUAAAAAGGGCCAUUUCUGAACUUGAGUUGUCAAUUAGGGGCAAAGAGAAUGAAAUUUGUGUGAUAAAUAGAAAUUUAUCCUUACUCUACCAAGCAUGUAGCGAUUUGAUCACUGAUAUUGAGAAUGGAAAUUCCCAAAUAGCUGAGAAUAAUCUAGCCCUUGUAGGGCAAUCUGUGACAAGAUCUAGGCAAUCACCAAGUGAAAUUGGCAGACAAGAUAUAGGAAAUCACCAAAUUCUCACAGAUGACUGUAUCAGAUCAUUGGUUGACAAGUUAUUCUUGAUUGUUAAGGGCACUAGAAAUGAUGAAACAACAGAACUGAAAGCUAUGAUCUCAGAAUUACAAAGAGAACUUGGGGAAAGGGAUGUUCAUACAAGUAGAAUUGCUGAAGAGCUUGUAUCUCAGAUAAGGAAUGCUGAAGCAGUUGCAAAGAGAUCCAUGACAGAACUUGAUUCUGCAAAAACUACAAUUUGUAGUUUAGAGAAGCAGGUUGAAUCAAUGGAGAAUGAUAACAGAUUAUUAGAGUCAAGAGUAGCUGAGCUAAAAGAUUUGGAGGCUUCAAUAAAUGGACUACAUGAAAGGAUUCAUUCCUUAAAUGAUUCUUUAACUGUGAAAGAUCAAGAAAUUGAAGCACUCAUGGAAGCACUUGAUGAAGAAGAGGCACAAGUGGAAGACCUGGAAAAAAGGAACAAGGAGCUAAAAAACAUGGUAGAAGAAAAGAGUCUUACCUUGGAGAAUCUUGAAGCUUCUCAUGAGAAGACUCUAGCAAAGCUCUCGACAACUGUCACCAAGUUUGAUGAGUUGUAUAAUUUGUCAGAAAGCCUUGUUGCUGAGGUGGAAAACCUUCAGUCACAAUUGCAAAGUCAAGAAUCAGAGGUUUCAUUCUUGCGUCAGGAGGUAACUAGGUGCACCAAUGAACUUCUGGCAUCACAAGAGAUUAACAAAAAGCAUUCAUCUGAAGUUCAUGAGUUGCUAAAGUGGUUUGAUAUGAUGAUUUCUCGUUUCGGAUCGUCCAAUCUUCACAUGAAUGGUGAAGACAGCCAGAUUAGGUUGUACACUGAUAUAUUGGACAAGUCAAUAGCAUCUUUUAUGGCUGAAUUAGAUGAUUUGCGCAUGAAAGUUAGUCAACAAACCUGUAGGACCUUGCCAGGGCCUUCAGAAGUUGAACAGAUGAAAAAUGAAUCAGCAUCAGCGGGUAUUGUUACACAUAUGCGCAGCGGACGCAAAUUUAAUAACGACCAAAUCGCUAUCGCCAUAGACACAGAAAAAGAUGACCAUGUUAUAGACGAUGAGGAUGAUGAUAAAGCUCAUGGCUUCAAAUCACUGACGAUGUCACGCAUCAUCCCGAGAGUUUCAAGGCCUAUAACUGACAAGAUUGAUGGGAUGUGGGUAUCAGGGGAGCGGCUGCUAAUGAGACAGCCUACAUUACGCCUUGGGGUAUUAAUGUAUUGGGUUGCAUUGCACGCAUUACUUGCUAGUCUCAUUUGAUGUAAAUCUCACAUGUGGUGGCCCCGUCAAGGCAAAACGCAAUGGUUUGGAAGAACUGUGUUACCAACUUGGAUCCAAGUUCCUUGAGGCACAGGUUGGGAGAGAUUCAGAAGAACACAGAUCCAGACGAACACAGAACCUGAUUGUUGAUACUUGAGAACUAGGUGGCAGCCCCGUUAGUACAAACACAAUGGUUGGAAGAACUGGGUGCGAGCAACUUGAAUCCAAAUUCCUUGAGGCACAAGUUGGGAGAGAUUCAGAAGAACACAGAUCCGAGAUCCAGGUGAACUUUCCCUUAAUGCAAGAUAAGAUACCUUGGAUUAUACUUGCAUGGCAAAUCAUUUGUCCUCCGAUGCACCGACAUUACCUGUGCGAUGUGAUUCUUUUAUUACACAUCAGACACUUGGGUCACCAUACCGAUCAUUUUAGCCAUGCAGUCAGCUGUGGUCUCUUCUCCAGCUUUUGCUUAGGCUGAAUACAAUAA